CCUACGGGAGGCAGCAGUGGGGAAUAUUGGGCAAUGGGCGCAAGCCUGACCCAGCAACGCCGCGUGAAGGAAGAAGGCUUUCGGGUUGUAAACUUCUUUUCUCAGGGACGAAGAAAGUGACAGUACCUGAGGAAUAAACCACGGCUAACUACGUGCCAGCAGCCGCGGUAAUACGUAGGUGGCAAGCGUUAUCCGGAUUUAUUGGGUGUAAAGGGAGUUUAGGCGGGAGUGCAAGUCAGAUGUGAAAAGUCAGGGCUCAACCCUGAGCCUGCAUUUGAAACUGGGUGUCUUGAGUGCUGGAGAGGCAAGCGGAAUUCGGGGUGUAGCGGUGAAAUGCGUAGAUAUAAGGAGGAACACCAGUGGCGAAGGCGGACUGCUGGACAGUAACUGACGUUGAGGCGCGAAAGCGUGGGGAGCAAACAGGAUUAGAUACCCUAGUAGUC
rnacentral:rRNA from 1 species